UACGAAGGGUGCAAGCGUUACUCGGAAUUACUGGGCGUAAAGCGUGCGUAGGUGGUUUGUUAAGUCUGAUGUGAAAGCCCUGGGCUCAACCUGGGAAUUGCAUUGGAUACUGGCAGGCUAGAGUGCGGUAGAGGGUAGUGGAAUUCCCAGUGUAGAGGUGAAAUUCGUAGAUAUUGGGAAGAACACCGGUGGCGAAGGCGGCUAUCUGGACCGACAUUGACGCUGAGGCGCGAAAGCGUGGGGAGCAAACGGG
rnacentral:rRNA from 1 species